AGAGUUUGAUCAUGGCUCAGGACGAACGCUGGCGGCGUGCCUAAUACAUGCAAGUAGAACGCUGAAGAGAGGAGCUUGCUCUUCUUGGAUGAGUUGCGAACGGGUGAGUAACGCGUAGGUAACCUGCCUUGUAGCGGGGGAUAACUAUUGGAAACGAUAGCUAAUACCGCAUAACAAUGGAUGACACAUGUCAUUUAUUUGAAAGGGGCAAUUGUUCCACUACAAGAUGGACCUGCGUUGUAUUAGCUAGUAGGUGAGGUAAUGGCUCACCUAGGCGACGAUACAUAGCCGACCUGAGAGGGUGAUCGGCCACACUGGGACUGAGACACGGCCCAGACUCCUACGGGAGGCAGCAGUAGGGAAUCUUCGGCAAUGGGGGCAACCCUGACCGGGCAACGCCGCGUGAGUGAAGAAGGUUUUCGGAUCGUAAAGCUCUGUUGUAAGUCAAGAACGGGUGUGAGAGUGGAAAGUUCACACUGUGACGGUAGCUUACCAGAAAGGGACGGCUAACUACGUGCCAGCAGCCGUGGUGAUACGUAGGUCCCGAGCGUUGUCCGGAUUUAUUGGGCGUAAAGCGAGCGCAGGCGGUUUGAUAAGUCUGAAGUUAAAGGCUGUGGCUCAACCAUAGUUCGCUUUGGAAACUGUCAAACUUGAGUGCAGAAGGGGAGAGUGGAAUUCCAUGUGUAGCGGUGAAAUGCGUAGAUAUAUGGAGGAACACCGGUGGCGAAAGCGGCUCUCUGGUCUGUAACUGACGCUGAGGCUCGAAAGCGUGGGGAGCGAACAGGAUUAGAUACCCUGGUAGUCCACGCCGUAAACGAUGAGUGCUAGGUGUUGGAUCCUUUCCGGGAUUCAGUGCCGCAGCUAACGCAUUACGCACUCCGCCUGGGGAGUACGACCGCAAGGUUGAAACUCAAAGGAAUUGACGGGGGCCCGCACAAGCGGUGGAGCAUGUGGUUUAAUUCGAAGCAACGCGAAGAACCUUACCAGGUCUUGACAUCCCGAUGCUAUUUCUAGAGAUAGAAAGUUACUUCGGUACAUCGGUGACAGGUGGUGCAUGGUUGUCGUCAGCUCGUGUCGUGAGAUGUUGGGUUAAGUCCCGCAACGAGCGCAACCCCUAUUGUUAGUUGCCAUCAUUCAGUUGGGCACUCUAGCGAGACUGCCGGUAAUAAACCGGAGGAAGGUGGGGAUGACGUCAAAUCAUCAUGCCCCUUAUGACCUGGGCUACACACGUGCUACAAUGGUUGGUACAACGAGUUGCGAGUCGGUGACGGCGAGCUAAUCUCUUAAAGCCAAUCUCAGUUCGGAUUGUAGGCUGCAACUCGCCUACAUGAAGUCGGAAUCGCUAGUAAUCGCGGAUCAGCACGCCGCGGUGAAUACGUUCCCGGGCCUUGUACACACCGCCCGUCACACCACGAGAGUUUGUAACACCCGAAGUCGGUGAGGUAACCUUUUGGAGCCAACCGCCUAAGGUGGGACAGAUGAUUGGGGUGAAGUCGUAACAAGGUA
rnacentral:rRNA from 1 species